rnacentral:rRNA from 1 species
GUGAACGCUAGCGGCGCGCCUAACACAUGCAAGUUGAGUGCCUUUAAAAGCACAGCAAACGGCUGCGUAACACGUUGGAACCUGCCCCGAACUCAGGGAUAACCCGCCGAAAGGCGGGCUAAUACCGGAUAGUCCCGAAAGGGUAAAGAUUUAUCGGUUCGGGAGGGGCCUGCGGCCUAUCAGCUAGUUGGUGAGGUAAUGGCUCACCAAGGCAAUGACGGGUAACUGGUCUGAGAGGACGACCAGUCAGAAUGGAACUGCGACACGGUCCAUACUCCUACGGGAGGCAGCAGUGAGGAAUCUUCCGCAAUGGACGAAAGUCUGACGGAGCGACGCCGCGUGGUGGAUGAAGGCCUUAACUGGUCGUAAACACCUGUUCUGAGGGACGAAAUUUUUGACGGUACCUCAGGAGAAAGUAUCGGCAAACCCUGU